CCUACGGGAGGCAGCAGUAAGGAAUAUUGGUCAAUGGGCGCAAGCCUGAACCAGCCAUGCCGCGUGCAGGAUGACGGCCCUCUGGGUUGUAAACUGCUUUUAUACGGGAAGAACAGCAUCUACGUGUAGGUGUUUGACGGUACUGUAAGAAUAAGGACCGGCUAACUUCGUGCCAGCAGCCGCGGUAAUACGAAGGGUCCAAGCGUUAUCCGGAUUUAUUGGGUUUAAAGGGUGCGUAGGCGGUCUUUUUAAGUCAGUGGUGAAAGCCUGAUGCUCAACAUCAGAACUGCCAUUGAUACUGAAGAGCUUGAGUACAGUUGAGGUUGGCGGAAUGUGUCAUGUAGCGGUGAAAUGCUUAGAUAUGACACAGAACACCGAUUGCGAAGGCAGCUAGCUAAGCUGUUACUGACGCUGAUGCACGAAAGCGUGGGGAGCAAACAGGAUUAGAUACCCUGGUAGUCCACGCCCUAAACGUUGAUAACUCGUUGUUAGCGAUAUACUGUUAGCGACCAAGCGAAAGCAUUAAGUUAUCCACCUGGGAAGUACGGUCGCAAGUAUAGACUACANAGAGUAGAGACGUUAGAGAGNGCCGACGGACGACGACGAGGGAGGAGG
rnacentral:rRNA from 1 species